rnacentral:rRNA from 1 species
UACGUAGGGUGCAAGCGUUGUCCGGAAUUAUUGGGCGUAAAGAGCUCGUAGGCGGUCUGUCGCGUCUGCUGUGAAAACUCAGGGCUUAACCCUGAGCUUGCAGUGGGUACGGGCAGACUAGAGUGCGGUAGGGGAGACUGGAAUUCCUGGUGUAGCGGUGAAAUGCGCAGAUAUCAAGAGGAACACCUGAGGUGAAGACGGGUUGCUGGGCUGACACUGACGCUGAUGCGCGAAAGCUAGGGGAGCAAACGGG